GCGGCAAUACGCAAAAACCUCCGGCCCGGACACCUGUUGCACUGCGGCGCCGCGGCGGCAGGCGUCGGUUGCGUUGGCGACGCCGGCUGAGCUGGCGAGUGCGGUCCUGCGUAGCCAGCCGGUGCCGACCGUCCGAGGGCGCUCCGCCGCCGCCGGGCUUCCAACUGCCAUCUCGUGCCGUCCGUUCUGCGCUGACCCGCUGUCGGUAGCUCUGCUUAGUUACCCCAGUUGUAAGCGACGGUGUUGAAACAGCCUGGAAACCACGCACUGUGACACGUAACGCGCUAUCGGUAACUGUGUGAUUUCUAAAAGCGCGCGGGCGACGCAGCGGAACACAGUCGAACCAGCGACUGGCGGCCCGUCUCAAGCUGAGCCCGUCGUCCGGACAGCCACACGAGAAGACGGUCAACGUGACGUCACUGAGUACUUAGAACGCUCCGUGGAGUAUAGCAGUACAAAAAUGUAGACAAAGGAGGUGGUGGGGGGCAGGCGAUGCAGCGGCAGACAGAGAGUACAGUGUUCAAAAUGUUAUACAGGAUGAUGAGUGUAAAAGCUACGAAAGGAUGAAAAGAUAGGAAAAGAUGGACGAUAGUAGGAAACCAGUAGAAAUGCUGAAGAAUAAAAAAAAAAUAAACAGUGUAGUUAGAUUCUCAACAUAUUUUGUUUCUGUGUGCCUUGUUUAUGAGUCAAGCAUGAUAUUAAUUAGUGGUAUUUAGUGCACAAUGCACCAGUUAAUGAUUCUUGUGUCUUUUAUUUACAUCGAGAACACAUGAUUCAUUUACAAGAAGUUGCUAAGAACGUGUCCUAUGAGAUGCAUACUGUAAUAUGUUCCACAAAAAUAAAAUAAAUAAAAUAAUGAUGAUUUUUCAA